rnacentral:rRNA from 1 species
GACGAACGCUGGCGGCGUGCUUAACACAUGCAAGUCGAACGGAAAGGCCCUGCUUGCAGGGUACUCGAGUGGCGAACGGGUGAGUAACACGUGGGUGAUCUGCCCUGCACUUCGGGAUAAGCCUGGGAAACUGGGUCUAAUACCGGAUAGGAGCCAUUUUUAGUGUGAUGGUUGGAAAGUUUUUUCGGUGUAGGAUGAGCUCGCAGCCUAUCAGCUUGUUGGUGGGGUAAUGGCCUACCAAGGCGGCGACGGGUAGCCGGCCUGAGAGGGUGGACGGCCACAUUGGGACUGAGAUACGGCCCAGACUCCUACGGGAGGCAGCAGUGGGGAAUAUUGCACAAUGGGCGCAAGCCUGAUGCAGCGACGCCGCGUGGGGGAUGACGGCCUUCGGGUUGUAAACUCCUUUCGCUAGGGACGAAGCUUUUUGUGACGGUACCUAGAUAAGAAGCACCGGCUAACUACGUG